rnacentral:misc_RNA from 1 species
CAGCCCUCAAGCCCGGCUUGGUGUUGGGCCCGGCCGCGUGGCCGGCCCUAAAGACAGUGGCGGCGCCGCCUAGCCCCGAGCGCAGUACAGCUCUCGCUCCGGGGCGCCGCGGUCGCCCGCCAGAACCCCCCACAACCCCCAU